UCCAUGGAUUCAAUAUAAACAACGUAUUCUUAUUACUUUGAAAUUUUCAGUAGCUCCAGAACGAUAUACAAAUACAGUUGAGAAAAUAAUUAACACUUCUCCAGAAGCUUAAACCUCAACAUUUACUUUAAAAUUGAAUCCUCUUUUGGAAAAUUACUAAGGAUUCACAAAAUAAUUGGACACUUGAAUGUUUUCUAUGGAAGAUAUAAAGGACAAUGUAUGAAAUGGAUCAUUCAAAAAAUAAUUAACUAAAAAAGUAGAUUUUAAGGUGUUAUAAGAUUAUUCCAGGAUGUAAAUUUAACUUUAACCAAUCUGAAUGAAUCUUGUCAAUGUUGCCAAAUUGUUGCCAGUUUACUUAUGUGGCAGUUAGGAAGUCAGUAGAUAAACAAAUGGUAAAAACAUUGCAUUUGGGAUAACUGAAAGUUAAAGAUAUCUUGAGGCUGCUUAUCUGACAAGUUUAACUGGAUAUUGAUAAAACAAAAUCUCAAAAUAUUGUGUUUACCUACAUUUUAAUAGUAGGCUAUGAAAUAAUAAACAACUGUCAAUACC